rnacentral:rRNA from 1 species
CCUACGGGUGGCAGCAGUGGGGGAUAUUGCACAAUGGGGGAAACCCUGAUGCAGCGACGCCGCGUGGGCGAAGAAGUAUUUCGGUAUGUAAAGCCCUAUCAGCAGGGAAGAAGAAAUGACGGUACCCGAGUAAGAAGCACCGGCUAAAUACGUGCCAGCAGGCGCGGUAAAACGUAGGGUGCAAUCGUUAUCCGGAUUUAAUGGGUGUAAAGGGAGCGCAGGCGGCACGGCAAGCCUGAUGUGAAAGCCUGCGGCCCAACCGCGGGACUGCAUUGGGAAACACCGGGCUGGAGUGCCGGAGAGGUAGGCGGAAGUCCGAGUGUAGCGGUGAAAUGCGUAGAUAUUAGGAGGAACACCAGUGGCGAAGGCGGCCUACUGGACGGUGACUGACGCUGAGGCGCGAAAGCGUGGGGAGCAAACAGGAUUAGAUACCCGAGUAGUC